AGGGGCGUAGCUCAGUUGGUAGAGCACCGGUCUCCAAAACCGGGUGCCGGGGGUUCGAGUCCCUCCGCCCCUGCCA
rnacentral:tRNA from 1 species